rnacentral:rRNA from 1 species
CCUACGGGAGGCAGCAGUGAGGAAUAUUGGUCAAUGGGAGAGAUCCUGAACCAGCCAAGCCGCGUGAGGGAAGACGGCCCUAUGGGUUGUAAACCUCUUUUGUCGGAGAGCAAAACCCGGGACGUGUCGCGGACUGAGUGUAUCCGAAGAAAAAGCAUCGGCUAACUCCGUGCCAGCAGCCGCGGUAAUACGGAGGAUGCGAGCGUUAUCCGGAUUUAUUGGGUUUAAAGGGUGCGUAGGCGGUCCCUGUAGGUCAGGGGUAAAUUUGCGGGGCUCAACCUCGCCGAGCCGUUGAAACUGGUAGUCUAGAGUUGGCGAGAAGUACGCGGAAUGCGUGGUGUAGCGGUGAAAUGCAUAGAUAUCGCGCAGAACUCCGAUUGCGAAGGCAGCGUACCGGCGCCAGACUGACGCUGAUGCACGAAAGCGUGGGGAUCGAACAGGAUUAGAUACCCGAGUAGUC